rnacentral:rRNA from 1 species
UACGUAGGGUGCGAGCGUUAAUCGGAAUUACUGGGCGUAAAGUGUGCGCAGGCGGUUUAGCAAGUCAAGUGUGAAAGCCCCGGGCUUAACCUGGGAACUGCGCUUGAAACUACGGAACUCGAGUAUGGCAGAGGAAGGUGGAAUUCCACGUGUAGCGGUGAAAUGCGUAGAGAUGUGGAGGAACACCGAUGGCGAAGGCAGCCUUCUGGGCCAAUACUGACGCUCAUGCACGAAAGCGUGGGGAGCAAACAGG